ACACACUGCUAGGAGGAGAAUCAGGCUUAGAAACUUUAAUGGCAUCCACAGUAGCAGCCAAGAAGCUUGCCAUGGCAUCAACACCAAUGUCUGAACUAACAUGAUUCUCAGCAUCAGACGUGACCAAACUCUCAGAGGUUUCAGAGCCCGCACUGGUACAUGAGAUCCCAAUAUACUCUGAAACCAUCAUCUGGUUUUCAUUCACAAUUUUAGGAUCUGGAAACUCAAUCUUAUCAAAUUCAGUAGGGAGUGAUUCCUGUAUCUCUACAUCCUGCACAGUUCCGUCCGUAGCUGAAGCAGCAGGCAUUGCAGGAAUUGCCAUGACAUCGGGUGAAGCUCCAUUAUAUGAUAGAGAUAACUGAACAAACCCUGCAGGAGAAUGGAAUAAAUCAGUUGAAGAAAGAGAGAACUCUUUCUCCAGCUUCCCAUUCUUGAUUAGAACAUCAGACAGGGGCACCAAGGCAAACCCUAGCAACUGAUCCUCCAGAUAAUUCCUCACCCUGCUCAUCAUGAAUAUCUCACAUUUAAGAGAAGAAUCAAUAGUUUUGACAUUGAACCGGAGAUCAUCNAUCAUUGAAGACUGGGUUCCUCCCACCACCAUUGAUGAUUUUGGUGGAUACUGUGUUUUCAGGAUCACUGGUCAGGCAAAACUUAGCAUAAACAUCUUGCUUGUGGUAAAUACAUAUGUUAUGGAUGUCCCUAGCCUGAUGUACGUAGACCUCAAGAAUGCCAAUGAAAUCCUGCAAGCUGCCGACCAUGGCUUCCUUUCUCUGGACCUCAAUUCCCUUGGACAAACUACCAGAGGUCCGAACUGCACAAUCAAAUUCGGGUUCAGCAACAAUAGAACUCUUGAAUGGUGAUACAACAGAUUGAGGGGAAUCCAUUAUCACGCCAAGAAAAAUGUACCUCCAAAGUCAAAAUGAAUUGAGCAGAAUCUGUGGCUCUAAUCCAAGAUCUGGCCAAGACUCAGUUCGUAAACCGAGGUCUUCUUUUUCGCUUUUUAGCUUUUACUGUUGAACUUCAAAGAAAACAAGCAAGUGAAGUGCUCAAGAAUAACCGAAAAGAAGGAAUAAAAUCCAACUUAAUCUAAACAAAUACGGGCAGUAUUGAGAGAGAGAGAGAGAGUUGAAGAUGCUCGUAUGGAUACUUGUCGUUUGUCAGAUAGGUUGCGUGAUAUAUAUAAACGAGUGAAAAAUGCGUAGUAGACAAAGGAAUGAAUAAUUUUUGUAAUUGGGAUUUUAUAUACAGGAAAUAUAAAAAGAAAGAAGGAAGGGUCUUUAAAAUCAAAUCUUUUCAUAAGAAUGGAGAGACAGCGGCCCACGAGUUGGCAAUGGCAAGGGAGGAACCAAUUAGAGGAGAGAUGAGUGCGUUUUUGC
rnacentral:misc_RNA from 1 species